GCCGUGAUCGUAUAGUGGUCAGUACAUUGCGUUAUGGCCGCAAUCACCCAGGUCAAAUCCUGGUCACGGCC
rnacentral:tRNA from 1 species